rnacentral:rRNA from 1 species
GAUAAACGCUGGCGGCGUGCCUUACGCAUGCAAGUCGAACGGAAGGCUUCGGCCUUCAGUGGCGGACGGGUGAGUAACACGUACGUGACCUGACGGUUGGUGGGGGAUACCCGUCCGAAAGGGCGGCUAAUACCGCAUGUGGUCCCUGGGGGUGCCCGGGGAAGAAAGCGUGCAAGCGUGCCAGCUGAGGGGCGUGCGGCCGAUUAGCUAGCUGGUGGGGUAAUGGCCUACCAGGGCGACGAUCGGUAGCUGGGCUGAGAGGCCGAGCAGCCACACU